rnacentral:tRNA from 1 species
AGGGGUGUAGUUCAGUUGGUAGAACGGCAGUCUCCAAAACUGCAUGUCCAGAGUUCAAGUCUUUGCGCCCCUGCCA